AACAGAAGCAGGAGAAAGAUAAGAGUAGACAGGGAUGAAACGUCAAUGUACCAGAUCUUUGAACCUAGGUUCAAUUGCUGGCUCUGGAGAUAGAAGCAUACAAAGACUACAAAAGAUGACCCAAAAUUUUAACAUGUUUUAGAAGUCCUAGAUUUGUAUUAUGAGCAAGCUGCCAUGAGCUUUACUGUCACAAAGAAAUGAAUUAUGCCAAGAAUCAGAAGGAGCUCAGAAGCAGAUCCUUUCCUCAUCAAGCCUCCAAGUGCGACUGCAGCCAGCCAGCCUUGAGCACAGCCUUGUGAGCCCCUAAAGAGAAAACUCAGACGAUGCCUAGACUCCUGACCUCCCGAAACUGUUAGAUAACAACGUGUGUUUUAAACGACCAAGUUUGUGGUAAUCUAUUACACAAUCUACAAAACUAAUAUAUGAAUCCACUAG
rnacentral:lncRNA from 1 species